rnacentral:rRNA from 1 species
UACGGAGGAUCCAAGCGUUAUCCGGAUUUAUUGGGUUUAAAGGGUGCGUAGGCGGGAGAUUAAGUCGGUGGUGAAAUUUUGCAGCUCAACUGUAAAAGUGCCAUUGAUACUGGUUUCCUUGAGUGUGGAUGAAGUAGGCGGAAUUUGUGGUGUAGCGGUGAAAUGCAUAGAUAUCACGAGGAACUCCGAUUGCGCAGGCAGCUUACUAAACCAUAACUGACGCUCAGGCACGAAGGCGUGGGGAUCAAACAGGAUUAGAUACCCUGGUA